rnacentral:rRNA from 1 species
AGAGUUUGAUCAUGGCUCAGGAUGAACGCUGGCGGCGUGCCUAACACAUGCAAGUCGAGCGAUUCUCUUCGGAGAAGAGCGGCGGACGGGUGAGUAACGCGUGGGUAACCUGCCCUGUACACACGGAUAACAUACCGAAAGGUAUGCUAAUACGAGAUAAUAUACUUUUAUCGCAUGGUAGAAGUAUCAAAGCUCCGGCGGUACAGGAUGGACCCGCGUCUGAUUAGCUAGUUGGUAAGGCAACGGCUUACCAAGGCGACGAUCAGUAGCCGACCUGAGAGGGUGAUCGGCCACAUUGGAACUGAGACACGGUCCAAACUCCUACGGGAGGCAGCAGUGGGGAAUAUUGCACAAUGGGCGAAAGCCUGAUGCAGCAACGCCGCGUGAGCGAUGAAGGCCUUCGGGUCGUAAAGCUCUGUCCUCAAGGAAGAUAAUGACGGUACUUGAGGAGGAAGCCCCGGCUAACUACGUGCCAGCAGCCGCGGUAAUACGUAGGGGGCUAGCGUUAUCCGGAAUUACUGGGCGUAAAGGGUGCGUAGGUGGUUUCUUAAGUCAGAGGUGAAAGGCUACGGCUCAACCGUAGUAAGCCUUUGAAACUGGGAAACUUGAGUGCAGGAGAGGAGAGUGGAAUUCCUAGUGUAGCGGUGAAAUGCGUAGAUAUUAGGAGGAACACCAGUUGCGAAGGCGGCUCUCUGGACUGUAACUGACACUGAGGCACGAAAGCGUGGGGAGCAGACAGGAUUAGAUACCCUGGUAGUCCACGCCGUAAACGAUGAGUACUAGCUGUCGGAGGUUACCCCCUUCGGUGGCGCAGCUAACGCAUUAAGUACUCCGCCUGGGAAGUACGCUCGCAAGAGUGAAACUCAAAGGAAUUGACGGGGACCCGCACAAGUAGCGGAGCAUGUGGUUUAAUUCGAAGCAACGCGAAGAACCUUACCUAAGCUUGACAUCCUUUUGACCGAUGCCUAAUCGCAUCUUUCCCUUCGGGGACAGAAGUGACAGGUGGUGCAUGGUUGUCGUCAGCUCGUGUCGUGAGAUGUUGGGUUAAGUCCCGCAACGAGCGCAACCCUUGCCUUUAGUUGCCAGCAUUAAGUUGGGCACUCUAGAGGGACUGCCAGGGAUAACCUGGAGGAAGGUGGGGAUGACGUCAAAUCAUCAUGCCCCUUAUGCUUAGGGCUACACACGUGCUACAAUGGGUGGUACAGAGGGCAGCCAAGUCGUGAGGCGGAGCUAAUCCCUUAAAGCCAUUCUCAGUUCGGAUUGUAGGCUGAAACUCGCCUACAUGAAGCUGGAGUUACUAGUAAUCGCAGAUCAGAAUGCUGCGGUGAAUGCGUUCCCGGGUCUUGUACACACCGCCCGUCACACCACGGGAGUUGGGGGCGCCCGAAGCCGGAUUGCUAACCUUUUGGAAGCGUCCGUCGAAGGUGAAAUCAAUAACUGGGGUGAAGUCGUAACAAGGUA